rnacentral:lncRNA from 1 species
CAGAUUUAAACUCAAUCUUUCUGACUUUAGGUCUCUGUCUACUGUGCCACCUAGUUGCCUCUGACGCAGAGGGAGAAGACAAAGAUCAUUCAUAAAAACAUAAAGGACAUCAGAAAUGACAUUCUGAAGGAAGGCUUGGGGUCCAAGAAAUCAAGAUCCUAUCUCUGAUGGAGAACUCAAGUAUUUAUUGUGAGGCUUUCUGUAACAGACUUUAAUUCUUCACCAGGAGAAGAGGCAGGAAGUAGAAGGCACAGGCUUGACCACUGUUCUCAGAGGGGAGUGAAUUGGGCUAGGAAUAUCUCUGUCUGUUCCGUGAAAGCAAGAGUAAAAGGCAAACAAACUGGGGGAAAAGUCUUUAUAGCAAGUCUCCCUGACAAAGGCUUCAUUUCUCAAAUAUAUAGAGGACUAAGUCAAAUUUAUAAGAAUACAAAGGAUUUGGGAAAGUCUACAUGAACUGUUGCAGAACGAAAGAAGCAGAACUGGAAGAACAUCAUACACAGUAACAGCAAUUUUGUACCAUGGUCAAUUGUGAAAGACUUAGCUGCUCUUAGCAAUACAGUGAUCUGGGACAAUUCUGAAGGAAUUCUGUCAAAGAAUGCUAUCUACCUCCAGGGAAAGAACUGUUGGAGUCUGAUGCAAAUCAAAGUAUACUAUUUUUCACAUUAGUUUAUUUACAAUUUUAUUUUGGAGGUUUGAUUUUAUAUGAUAUUUUCUUACAGCAAUGACCAAUAUGGAAGUAUGUUUUGCAUGAUAAUACAUGUAUAACCCAGAUCAAAUUGCUUAUCAUCUCCAAAAGGGGAAGGGAGGAAAGGAGGCAAUUUGGAUCUUACAAUUUUGGAAAAUAUAUGUUGAAAAUUAUUUUUACAUGUACCUGGGAAAGUAAAAUAUCUUUGAAGUAAAAAGAAAAGAUUGAUUUUAAAAAAGAAAAAAAGAAUACAAAGCAUUUCCCAAUUGACAAAGAAUAUAAACAGGCAAUUCUCAGAUGAAGAAAUUAAAGCUAUCUUUAGACAUAUGAAAAAAUGCUCCAAAUCACUAUUGAUUAGAGAAAUGUAAAUUAAAAUAACUCUGAGGUGCCACUUCACAUCCAUAAGACUGACUAAUGUGACAAAAAAGGAAAGUGAUAAAUUUUGGAGAGGAUGUGGCAGAAUCAGGCUACUAAUACACUGCUGGUGGAACUGCAAAAAAUGAUACAAUCAUUCUGAAGAGCAAUCUGGAACUAUGCCCAAAGGGCCAUAAAAUUGUGCAUACCCUUUGAUCUGGUAAUACCACUACUAGGUCUAUAUCCCAAAGAGAUUAAAGAUAAAGGAA